AGUCUCAGAUUCUUCGCAGAACGCAUAAAUCUUUCGCCUUUUACUAAAGAUUUUUAUGCGAAGGAUCAUAAAUGAGUUAUUUUAUCUAUUUAAAAAUUUUUUUUAUUCCUUAUUUAUAUGAAAA